rnacentral:rRNA from 1 species
UCUAAACGACUCUCGGCAACGGAUAUCUCGGCUCUCGCAUCGAUGAAGAACGUAGCGAAAUGCGAUACUUGGUGUGAAUUGCAGAAUCCCGUGAACCAUCGAGUCUUUGAACGCAAGUUGCGCCCGAAGCCUUCUGGCCCGAGGGCACGCCUGCUUGGGCGUCA